rnacentral:rRNA from 1 species
GACGAACCGUGCGAACGUUGUUCGGAAUCACUGGGCUUAAAGGGCGCGUAGGCGGGCUGCCAAGUCCGGGGUGAAAUCCUCCAGCUUAACUGGAGAACUGCCUCGGAUACUGGAAGUCUCGAGGAGGGUAGGGGCAUGCGGAACUGGUGGGUGGAGCGGUGAAAUGCGUUGAUAUCCAUAGGAACUCCGGUGGCGAAGGCGGCAUGCUGGACCCUUUCUGACGCUGAGGCGCGAAAGCCAGGGGAGCAAACGGG